GCCGAGCCGAGCCGAGCCGAGCCGGGGCUGUGGGGGCGCCGCGGCAGCGCUCACACCGCCCCCACGAGCGCUGCGCUCCGCGCCUCUGCUCCGCUCACCCAGCGAGCCGCAGCUGCCCCUCCCGCACCGUACCCCCCUCCACCUUUGCCGCCCGCCGGCUCUGAGGGCUUGAACCGCCUCCCGAAGGAGGCUGGGAGCGUCCCUGGUCUGAGGAGCGGAGCGCCCGACCCGGAGCGGGAGUUCGAUAGGAAAGACGCGAGGUCUAGAGGAGGAGAGGCAGGUCCCGGCGCAGCGCGAUCCGCUCGCUGAGCACCUCGUUAAAGCCGUGCGUGUCCAGGCCGAGCGGCCGCUCCCCCGCAGCAGCCCCUUGCCCAUCCUGCAGGGGAAGGGACAGCGGCUGGGACUCGGGACCCCCCUCUGCCUUCCCCUCCGGCCGCCUGCCCUGCUGCUUCACCACGCGAUAGCCCUUCCUGGCCCUGCUGUGGUUCCUUUUGCCGGUGGGCGACAUGACGGCCAUGAUCAACUCAUCCUCCCGCAGGGAGAUGAAAGGCGAUAGACCAUCCAAAGGGUAAUACUGCUGGCUCUCCUCCUGGGUUUCCAGCAUCUCUUGGGUCUCCACAAAGUCCAGCUGAUACCCUUCCCGGGGGUUGAACUCCACAGGCUGGAAAGUCCCUUCCUUGCUCUGGUUGCUGGGUGGUGGAUUCAGCGUUGUAACCAUCAGUAGUAAAAACCCCAGCAUCAGAAACAACAAGAGAAACUGCAGCUUACGUGAUCCAUAUCUGCACUUCUUCCUCAAGAACAUACUGUUGGUGACAAAAUUAUACAGAUGGUCAUGUUAAAUAUCACUUGAAUCUUCCUCAGAUUUCAGUCCUCGGGUUGCACAAAAGCCCUGGUUUUCACUAUCUGCCAAGAAAAUUUUUUUGCUCCCUUCACAUUUCACUGAUGCCAUUUCAUGCUUUCCUCUCUAUUUGCAGAAAAAAAAAUAUAACAUUCCUAUUAACAUUGUACUUACUGUAGUAAAAUGUAGCAUGGAUCCAGUGAGAUAAAGUAGAUCCUUUAUUAUACGGAGUCCCAGGUUAGUUAGGAAAGUGCAUGCUUUGCUGAUUGAAAGAGUAGCUAAAGCUUUGAUUUUUUUUUUUUUUUUUUUUCCUUUUUAAAAUUCUAAGUUGAAAGAAAUCCCAUUUCUCAUUGUUUCUUUCAAGGGUAGAUCCUGCUUCUUCAAAGUUUCAAAUUGCUGCCUGGAUUGAAGCACUGUAUCUCUGAAAGCAGAUCUGACAGCUCUCCCCCGUUCAGAGGCUUCAAGUUAACUGUGAUCAACAGAUGAGAAGUAGUCGGUCCCUGACUUUGUUUCACACAUAACUACGGCAUUCAGUCAGGAAGCACUUUGCCAGACAUAAUACAGAGCAAUGUGUGCGUCUUUCUCUUGGUCCUAAUGCCCUCACUGUGCUUGUCCUAUCAAAUCAAAACUUUGCAAAUGCUGUAAGAGGUGAAAUACAAGAAGCAGAAUGUUGUAUUAGAAAAGAAAUCAAGGCACACCACAGACUGCUGUAGGUUGGAAUAGCUGUAAUAAGCUGAGAAUGCACAGAGCGAGAAUCAAGAAUUUUAUAAAGUGAAUAAAAAAUGGAGAGCACA